rnacentral:tRNA from 1 species
AUUUAGGUAGCUUAUAUAAAGCGUUACACUGAAGAUGUAAAAAAGGUUUACCUCUAAAUA